rnacentral:rRNA from 1 species
CCUACGGGUGGCAGCAGUGGGGAAUAUUGCACAAUGGGGGAAACCCUGAUGCAGCGACGCCGCGUGAGUGAAGAAGUAAUUCGUUAUGUAAAGCUCUAUCAGCAGGGAAGAAAAUGACGGUACCUGAGUAAGAAGCCCCGGCUAACUACGUGCCAGCAGCCGCGGUAAUACGUAGGGGGCAAGCGUUAUCCGGAUUUACUGGGUGGAAAGGGAGCGUAGACGGAAGUGCAAGUCUGGAGUGAAAGGCGGGGGCUCAACCCCCGGACUGCUCUGGACACUGUAAGGCUGGAGUGCAGGAGAGGUAAGUGGAAUUCCUAGUGUAGCGGUGAAAUGCGUAGAUAUUAGGAGGAACACCAGUGGCGAAGGCGGCUUACUGGACUGUAACUGACGUUGAGGCUCGAAAGCGUGGGGAGCAAACAGGAUUAGAUACCCCAGUAGUC